CCGGUUACAUUCCGAACCCGGAAGCUAAGCCUUUCAGCGCCGAUGGUACUGCAUGGGGGACCGUGUGGGAGAGUAGGACGCCGCCGAAC
rnacentral:rRNA from 1 species